GCCUGGCUGGCUCAGUGGGUAGAGCAUCUGACUCUUGAUCUCAGGGGUCUGAGUUCAAGCUCCACGUUGGGCA
rnacentral:tRNA from 1 species